rnacentral:rRNA from 1 species
UACGAAGGGGGCUAGCGUUGCUCGGAAUUACUGGGCGUAAAGCGCGUGUAGGCGGUUGUUCAAGUCGGGGGUGAAAGCCUUGAGCUCAACUCAAGAAAUGCACUCGAUACUGGAUGACUUGAGGACCGGAGAGGAUAGUGGAAUUCCCAGUGUAGUGGUGAAAUACGUAGAGAUUGGGAAGAACACCAGUGGCGAAGGCGGCUAUCUGGACGGUUUCUGACGCUAAGACGCGAAAGCGUGGGGAGCAAACAGG